rnacentral:rRNA from 1 species
GACGAACGCUGACGGCGUGCUUAACACAUGCAAGUCGAGCGGAAAGGCUCCUUCGGGGGUACUCGAGCGGCGAACGGGUGAGUAACACGUGAGUAAUCUGCCCUUGGCUUCGGGAUAGCCACCGGAAACGGUGAUUAAUACCGGAUAUGACAACUUCUCGCAUGGGAUGGUUGUGGAAAGUUUUUCGGCCAGGGAUGUGCUCGCGGCCUAUCAGCUUGAUGGUGAGGUAAUGGCUCACAAUGGCUUCGACGGGUAGCCGGCCUGGGAGGGUGGCCAGUCACACUGGGCCUGAGACACGGCCCAGACUCCUACGGGAGGCAGCAGUUGGGAAUAUUGCACAAUGGGCGCAAGCCUGAUGCAGCAACGCCGCGUGCGGCAUGACGGCCUUCGGGUUGUAGACCGCUUUUAGUAGGGAAGAAGCCUCUUGGGGUGACGGUACCUGCAGAAAAAGGACCGGCUAACUACGUGCCAGCCGCCGCCGUAAUAC